GUCUGCUAUCGUUCCCGCACUAGUGCACCGGAUCCAACAAGAACUAAUCAUAUAGCUGUGCUUGGGCGAGGGUAGUACUAGGAUGUGUGACCUGCUUCGAAGUCCACGUGUUGUCCCCG
rnacentral:rRNA from 1 species